GGAGGAGCUAGGGGAAAUGAACAGAAAGGUGGCAGAGAAGCUCAUGGCCUGGAGAAACCCAAUCAGGAGAUGCUGAGUGUUUGUGGAAAGAGCCACACCCAGAUUGGAGCAGCUGCCUUCUCAAGUGGGUCUGACUCAAAGGUGCUUGGGUCAGAAGAGCCAAGGCUGACCCAUCAUGCCUGACCCCAAAGUCAGCUCCAAUUCACUUGAAGAAGAAAGAUGUUUCUGAGAAGAAAAUCUGAAUCAGCAGUUGGCAUCCCAGUUUCCUACCUUGCCACACAUCUCUCCUGUCCAGUGCUGCCACGUGGAACCUUCUUCACCACACAGUCAGUCACUCGAUUUCCCCUGGCACGUCGGAAGAGGAGAACUCAGCGCGCACACUGAAGGACUGAUAGGCAAAAGGCGUGGUCUUCAUAUAGAAGGAAAGUGCACUUUGCAGACAGUGGAAGGGCUUACGUCAUGGAUGGAUCUCUCUUGGGGGUCCCUAAAAUUGCCUGUGAGACAGCAGUGCGGUGAGCACUGUUUGUUAUAAGCUUGCUUUGUGACCAGCUUUGUGUUAAACAUUGGCGCUAGAAAGAGGAAUGCAGUAGCCCUAGUCUCUGGGGUGGAGUCUAAUAUGCAGAAAGAACACUCAACUCUUCCCAAAGAUAAAGCCUGAGAAGAAAGAUUGACCCCCCCCCCCCGUGGGAAACCCAGAGAAGGGAGGAAAUUAAGAGACAGUCACCCCAGGUCCUUUGCAUUAACCGUUGUUUUCCUUGGCUAGACACUCUCCUUAGAGCCCCUCUAUUUCUCACUUCUUCAGCUAUGCUCAGACAAGAGCUAGUGUCAGAGGAUUGUGGGUAAAACAGACAAAUCCUGUGACACUCAGCAGGCUGUUAAAUCAAAGCACUGCAUGUGUCAACUCUUUCGCCAGGCCUCAGACUUCUUCUUUGUUCCUGGUGGUUUCUGACUCUGGUGUCUGCUCUCCUCUGUGUCGAAUCCCUCGUGUGUGGUGAAUAUUUUGAAAUCACACAUUCCGAGCUAAGCCUCCGACUGAAGAGUAAAUCAAUACCCCCUCCCUCAAGUAAUCACCACUUCCUUGUGCAUUGAAUGCAGGCACCAGCGCAGCAGCAAGGCUGGGAGCAGGGGCCAAGCCCGGUGGGUCUGGUUACCUCACGCAAGAUUCAAAGUCAUAAGGAUUUUUUUUUUUUAAGCCAAUUGGCAUGAAAAUUGGUAAACGUCGGGUCAACCUCGGUGGAAGUAUUCAAACACAAAAAUCAGCUGAUGUGAAAUACUGGCCGUCUCCUUCCAUGAUUCUGACUCUUAAGCAUUAACUACUACACUUUUGACAAGAUGGCCCACAGAGGAUGAGGAGACAGCUUAGACAAAUGGUCCCAUUAGCAAAAGCCACACAAAGCCUGUGCCAGGGGACAGAGCGCUGAACCCUCCUCCCUGGUCCUGUGAAGAGAAGUGACAUCUCGCCUUUGCUCCGUGCCUGAGGACUCUCUAAGGCAGAGUUCUGCAUACUUUAGGUAAAGGCCAGGUAAGGUAUCUGCUGGCCAGGCCAUCUGUUCACUGCUUCUGCAAUUUCCUCUUGCGUCUGUGACACAGCAAGAGCCGUAGUCAGAGAGAGGCUGACGGGUGUGGCUGGGUUCCAAUAGAAUGUUAUUUCUGGACACCGAAGUUUGAAUUUCCUGUCAUUUGCGUAUGUCACAAAACAGCCUUCUUUUGGUCACCCUGCAACCACUCAUAAAUGUAAAAUCUAUUCUCGGCUCACAGGCACAGGCCUGUAUUUGCUUUGUAGUCUACAGUUUGCCUAACACGUUGAAGUUCAGUAGAUUAAAUGAUGUCAGAGAAGAAAAGCUGGCCCCCAAGUCUCCCUCAAUCACAGUAGCCACUCUGGUUUUUGAGCAGUGUACUCAACAAGUACUACACUAAGAACUGUGUUACAUGUUAGCUCAUCUAACAUUUCAAGGGAUGCCAAAAUGAGGUUUAGAAAAGAAAAAUAAUAGGGCUGAGGUUAGAGCAUGGCUAAGCUGCCUGGGGUUUUGGAUGUGUUUUGUUUAUUUAGGAAGCCUGUGCUCUUAGCCCGUGUCACCCUGGCCUGAAAUCCUAGAUCUGAUUUACCCCUGGCUGGCAGCCACUGCCUUCCCUUGUGCUCUCUGCUCAGUGGGGCAGCCAUGGUCUGUGACUCAGACCCUAAUGGCAUCUAGCAAACUUCAUCUAGAAAAACAGUAAGGUGAGCUAAGGCCUAUCCACCAGCUUUAGCUUUAGGAAAAAAAAAUCUAUAAAAUAAAGACAGGGGUUGAGUAGCGCCUGCAAUGUCCUUUUCCCUGGAAAAUCAGGCAAAGCAGUCACACCUAUCAUGAGGACCAAGCAUCUCUCCCAGAACCUGUGUGUGUUGACCCCAUAGGGGUCACGUAUCAGACAACCUGCAUAUCAGAUAUUUACGUUACGAUUCAUAACAGUAGAAAAUUACAGUUAUGAAGUAGCAACAAAGUAAUGUCAUGGUUGGAGGUCACCACAGCAUGAGGAACUGUAUUAAAGGGUCACAGCGUUAGGAAGGUUGAGGACCCCUGUGUCGAACUCUCCUUAAAGGGCAAGCUCAGUCCACGCUAGACCAAGCUUCACGCUUGGCCGACAAAAGGCCAAAAGCAAACCGAUAAAGGGACCGAAGCUAGGAGCUCUGCAUCUCCACACUUCGAAAAGAACAAGGGAUAGAAGACUAACUCUCUAGAGGACACAGGAUUCUGAACAGAAAAACCCAUUUAAGCUUUAUACGUGUAAAUGUAAGCAGGCGUUUAAGGCAGUAACAGCUAGGUUAUUAAAAAUGAAAAAAAAUCCAAAAUUAUGAUAUCAUUA